rnacentral:rRNA from 1 species
GUGGCAAGCGUUGUCCGGAUUUAUUGGGCGUAAAGCGAGUGCAGGCGGUUUCAUAAAGCUGAUGUGAAAGCCUUCGGCUCAACCGGAGAAUUUCAUCAGAAACUGUUGAACUUGAGUGCAGAAGAGGAGAGUGGAACUCCAUGUGUAGCGGUGGAAUGCGUAGAUAUAUGGAAGAACACCAGUGGCGAAGGCGGCUCUCUGGUCUGCAACUGACGCUGAGGCUCGAAAGCAUGGGUAGCGAACA